rnacentral:lncRNA from 1 species
UCACAGAGUCAAAUGUGUGUAGGUUAGACUUGUCUUCCCUGUCCAGCUGUUUUCUUUAUUUUCUUUCCAUUGAGGUAGUGUACCAGUUAUGAAACUCAGGUUUGUCUCUUCAAUUUUUUUUUUUUUUUUUUUNNNNNNNNNNUGAACUCAUGCUUUUUUAUGGCUGCACAGUAUUCUGUGGUGUAUAUGUGCCACAUUUUCUUAAUCCAGUCUAUCAUUGUUGGACAUUUGGGUUGGUUUUGUUAAAUUUAUACCUGUUGUAGCUACUCUGUGGACAUAGGUGGAUUCGUAUCUCAAUUUUGUUUGGAUUCUCAUUUAGUAUUAGGAAAAUAUUUAGGUAAUUUGAAUUUGUAGUAAAGCAAAGUGGAGUAUUACAGAGUGGCCUUUUUAUAAAGUAGUUUGGUAUAAGUUAAAAUUAAUACGGAGGAAAAAAACCCCAGACUACUCUACUUUGAUUCUUACAUUAAUUGGAACUUUAGCAAUGAGGUGAUUCCAUGGUGUAUUAGGGUUAUCCAGAGGGACAGAACUAAUAGGAUAGAUGGAUAUAUAAAGGGGAGUUUAUUAAGGAGUAUUGACUCACACUGUCACAAGGUGAGCUCCCACAAUAGGCUGUCUGCAAGCUGAGGAGCAAGGAAGCCAGUCCAUGUCUCAAAGCUGAAGAACUUGGAGUCUGAUGUUCGAGGGCAGGAAGCAUCCAGCACAAAUGUA